ACUCCUACGGGAGGCAGCAGUAGGGAAUUUUCCGCAAUGGACGAAAGUCUGACGGAGCAAUGCCGCGUGAGUGAUGAAGGUUUUCGAAUCGUAAAGCUCUGUUGUAAGGGAAGAAUAGCAGUAGUAGGAAAUGACUACUGUGUGACGGUACCUUACCAGAAAGCCACGGCUAACUACGUGCCAGCAGCCGCGGUAAUACAGAGGGUGCGAGCGUUAAUCGGAUUUACUGGGCGUAAAGCGUGCGUAGGCGGCCAUUUAAGUCAAAUGUGAAAUCCCGCGCUACUUAGGAUUGGCAAUUGCUGAACAUGGGAUGGCUAGAGUAUGGGAGAGGAUGGUAGAAUUCCAGGUGUAGCGGUGAAAUGCGUAGAGAUCUGGAGGAAUACCGAUGGCGAAGGCAGCCAUCUGGCCUAAUACUGACGCUGAGGUACGAAAGCAUGGGGAGCAAACAGGAUUAGAUACCCUGGUAGGCU
rnacentral:rRNA from 1 species